rnacentral:rRNA from 1 species
AUUGAACGCUGGCGGCAGGCCUAACACAUGCAAGUCGAACGGUAACAGAAAGCAGCUUGCUGCUUUGCUGACGAGUGGCGGACGGGUGAGUAAUGUCUGGGAAACUGCCUGAUGGAGGGGGAUAACUACUGGAAACGGUAGCUAAUACCGCAUAACGUUGCAAGACCAAAGAGGGGGACCUUCGGGCCUCUUGCCAUCGGAUGUGCCCAGAUGGGAUUAGCUAGUAGGUGGGGUAACGGCUCACCUAGGCGACGAUCCCUAGCUGGUCUGAGAGGAUGACCAGCCACACUGGAACUGAGACACGGUCCAGACUCCUACGGGAGGCAGCAGUGGGGAAUAUUGCACAAUGGGCGCAAGCCUGAUGCAGCCAUGCCGCGUGUAUGAAGAAGGUCUUCGGGUUGUAAAGUACUUUCAGCGGGGAGGAAGGGAGUAAAGUUAAUACCUUUGCUCAUUGACGUUACCCGCAGAAGAAGCACCGGCUAACUCCGUG